UAAGAUUACUCCUUUGCAACACCUGAAGUCCAGACAACAGGAGACAAAUACCAAGUUGCAACUAGAACAAGUGCCUUUGGAGCCUGGCUCCUACAGUGUACUAGCCACUGUUAAGUGCUAGCCUGCUCUCUUGCACUGGUCACAGUACAGUGCCACACCAUCUGGUAAGCAUAAUACCUACUUUUAUCUGUACCUGCAUUCCAGACGAUAUCACGCUAUUGUGGCGCCCUCUUUCUAUUCUUCUUCAACAGUUGUUCCACACUCUCUGGGAUCAAGAGGAGCAGCCUGAUUCAUCAUCUCUUUCAAGAGGACAUCUCUAUUCCCUAUUUACCACCAGUAUAUGGACAGUAAACAGGACUAAUACGUGCCGUAUGGCAUGCAAUGUGAUUGGAUGCCGCACAAAAAAAAGCAGUCGAAUGAGGGGCGAAGGGAGCAAGGAUAAGAAAAGGAAGCCAUAUUAAAGUAUCCUUUGUUGAAGAAAUAGCAAAGCACAUGGGUGACCAAUCACACGAGGCAUCUAUCUGCAGCCACCAAUCAGCAGCUACUGAGCCUAUUUAUAUAUGCUUUUCAAUAAAGGAUAUCAAGUGAAUGAAGCAAAUAAGAUAACAGAAUUUUACUUGAAAAAAAGAAGAAAAAAAGAAGAAAAAAAGGACCAGCUGACUGAGUCACUUGGAAAGAAUUACUUUAUUCAGUACUAAAAUGAGCACAAAAAAACACAUGUGGAAUUCAUGGGCCACUCCCUAGUGUGUGAGAGCAAUUACAGAAUCUGAAAUCCAAGCUCAUCUGACAAAAUCUUUGCUAAACUUUUACUCUGCCACAGACUACACUGCAAAGCCUUUAAUUGCUACAGAAAAUACCUUCAACUAUAUCAUUAUAAUUGUGUAACUGGGAAAGAAAAAAAUGGGCAACCUUUUAGAAUUCUUUAAAGGUUAUAUGUAAGAGAUAACAAUACUUUUAAUUUGCCUUAAAAAUAUUAAAUAAGUUUGUGGAUUCCAAUUUUUGUUUUGGAGGUAAUAAAGUCAGUGAGGCACCUUAGGACACACAGACAUUGCACAGUCAGACACAUGACAUGAACAUACAAACAAAUUACAAUCACACACAUAAUCAUGCACACUCACACAGGCACAUACAAACAAAUUACAAUCACACACACAUAAUCAUACACACUCACACAGGCACAUACAACAUAAUUACACACACAUAAUUAUGCACACACACUCACAGACACAGGCACUUACAAAACAAUCACACACACAUACUCAUGCACACACACUCACAUACACACAGGCACAUACAAAAUGAUAACACCCAUACUCACAGACACAGGCACUUACAAAACCAUCACACACACACACGUACUCAUGCACACUCACACACACACACACAGCAAUUACAAUCACGCACACAUACUCCUGCACACACACUCACAGGCGCAUACACAGCAAUUACAAUCACUCACACAUACUCAUGCACACACACUCACACACAGAGGCAUAUACAAAACAAUUGCAAUAACACACACAUACUCAUGCACACACACUCAUAGACACAUGCAAAACAAUUACAAACACACACACACUCAAGUACACACUCUCACGGGCACAUGAAUGCACUGUGUCUGCACAGCACACAAGCUCACAGACAUACACAAACACCCACUUAUGCAAACCAAGUGCUGACUAAAAAAUAUCAAAUGAACAGCUUUGAGUAAGAAAGGAAGAUAUUUUGCCUAAAAAUGUCUUCAGUUCACCAGAGUAUGUGCUCUGUGAGCAGUUAUUCUUCAACUACUGUCAUCUGCAAGGUGAAAAAUAACCAGGCAGCAUAAUCAAUGUAAAGUACACACUGUUUUCCUGUGAUCUUGUAGGUUUUCACCAUAAUCUCACAAUAUUUCAUAUUAAACUUCUUUAAACUGAGGAAGGAAAUAAACUCACUGUGCUGUGCAUUCUAGAUUCACGCUCUCUUGCAAGUCAUGGGACUAGCAUUCUGAUUGGGUGCUUAAAGGAUUACACAACACUUGGAUUUAUCACCUCUUAAACACAUAUAUAUUGAUUAGUAAACAAUUGCCUAAUAAAAUCCACUUAUUUGCUUUUGAAAA